GGGAUAGCCACUAGAAAUGGUGGGUAAUACUGUAUAAUCCCUGCGGGGGAAAGAUUUAUCGCUAUUAGAUGAGCCUAUGUUAGAUUAGCUAGUUGGUAGGGUAAAGGCCUACCAAGGCGAUGAUCUAUAGCUGGUCUGAGAGGAUGAUCAGCCACACUGGAACUGAGAUACGGUCCAGACUCCUACGGGAGGCAGCAGUGGGGAAUAUUGGACAAUGGGCGCAAGCCUGAUCCAGCUAUGCCGCGUGAGUGAGGAAGGCCUUAGGGUUGUAAAACUCUUUCAGUAGGGAAGAUAAUGACGGUACCUACAGAAGAAGUCCCGGCAAACUCCGUGCCAGCAGCCGCGGUAAUACGGAGGGGGCAAGCGUUGUUCGGAAUUAUUGGGCGUAAAGGGCAUGUAGGCGGUUCGGUAAGUUAAAGGUGAAAUGCCAGGGCUUAACCCUGGAGCUGCUUUUAAUACUGCCAGACUAGAGUCCGGGAGAGGAUAGCGGAAUUCCUAGUGUAGAGGUG
rnacentral:rRNA from 1 species